rnacentral:lncRNA from 1 species
AUGGAAGAGAAUAACAAAGAGACUGAUGGAAGAAUAAGAAUGGUGUGAGAUUAAGAGACUUUGGGUGAGAGAUUGAGAGAUUAGAGAGAUUGAGAGAUUAGGUAACCAGAGAAUAGAGAUUGGGAGAUUCAAAGUAACCAAAGACUAUGAAGGAGAAGGGGAAAUCCCCCUAACUCUCUUAAGAGUUACAAAUCGCCAUAUACAUCUGUUUAUAUAGACUUUUACAAUCUGAGACAUCAUAAACCUAUAUCUAAUGGCUGUAAAUAACUUAAGAGGAAUGGAUGGUGUAGAUGAGCUAGUCUUGUUGCAAUCUGUGUAGUUGAAUCUGAUUGGCUGAAGCAGCUGGCGCCUAUCUUUAAUUCAAACCAGGGCUGUGCUGUGAUUGGCUCUCCUUAAGCUCCUCCUAAUCUGUCCACAGAUCAGUCUAGGUUCAUGGUCGUGGCUCCCCUUGCCUUUACAGUCAAAGCCAGCCUGUCCCAUGACCAAACUCUCCAAUCAUAUCACAGCACCUUAUCUUCUUUGUCUUCUUCUCUUAAGAGCUUCUUUUGUCUUCUUCUCUUAAGAGCUUGUUUUGUCUUCUUCUCUUAAGAGCUGACCUAUGCCCUAUUUUUGCACAAACUUCAUAACUUCUGAAAUGAUCGAGUUAUGAGCUUUCGGGUCGGGACAGGUCCGUACGGAUCCGUACGGUCCGUACACGUCCGUACCAAAUCCGUACGGCCUCGCCCUAAGUUUGCACACUCGACCACCUGCUCCCAAAGAUACUCCUAAGCCUCUCCUGACUUGGCCCUAUCUUUGCACAACCAUCAGAUCACUUCUGGACACUCUCAGACCCUCCUGAAGCCUUGGUAGACAAUCCCUGAAGGACUUGCCCUAUCUUUGCACAAGCACCAACUCAACUCAUCACCUUUGCUUCUCCACUUCUUCUCUUCAAGUUAACACUCCCCCUCAAGCUUGACCUUAGCUGAUCCUAAGUCAAGCUUGGAACCUUGAAGAAUCCCCUCAUUAAAAACCUUACAAGGAAAACCCUUUGGGACAAAACCUUGUAAGGGAAAAAGAGUAGGUUCAUCAAGGCCUGGGGAUUGGCCAGUGAGCCCUUGUGCCUUAGAACCAGUGUGGUUGGACACAAGAAGCUCUGGAUCACGGCCUAAUAGGUGCAACAACUCUUCACAGCUUUGCACACACUUCACACUUCAGCUUCACCUCUUCAUGGAACUGGUUUGAAGUCUCCCCCUCUCAACUGACUUCUCAGCCAUCUUAGAGAAGCUAGGACAUGACCAUAGUAUCUUCAAACACCAGUGAGCCUUAUCAACACUUCACACACGGCUUGCCCUCCUCAUAGACCUGGUUUGGAUCUCCCCCUCUCAACAAACUUCACAGCCACCUUAGAGAAGCUAGGAAAUGACCAGGAACACCUUUAGUGAGGCUCAAGCAAUGGUACCUAGACACGCCACUGACUUGGUCCGGUUGAUGAUCCUUGUAGAAGCCUUUGCAAAGACUUGUUACUGACCAUGGAUCAUAUGCAUUAAGACUCCCCCUCAAGCUUAGAACCGAGACUAGAAGGAGCUAAGCUUGUGAUGAUCCUAUGCAUCUCCAUGGUCUAAUAACUAUCAUCUUUCAUGAUAGAUUUCUUCUUGUGAGUUUACUCUCUUCCUUAACCAGGAACUAGGGUGUUUGAAUCACCAUAGAGAGUCUCACAAGACACACCUCUCAUUGCAUAAUGACCCAUGCUACACUUCCUGUAGACUAAGGACUAGAUAUGUCCAAUGGUAUUAUGCAAUGGCCAUCUCUCAUUGCAUACUCAAUCACACUACACUUCCUGUAGACUAAGGACUAGAUAUGUCCAAUGGUAUUAUGCAAUGGCCAUCUCUCAUUGCAUACUCAAUCACACUACACUUCCUGUAGAUUAUGGACUAACAUGUCCUGGUGAUGAUAUGCAAUGGCACAAGACCUUUGUCUUUACAUUCUUGGUUGUUGGCGAGUUACAUGUAUCACACUCCUUGUGUACCUAACACCACCACAACUCAAUGCAAGAUCAGAUAAUCCCAUUGGGAUCAAACUAAGAUCAUCCAUCCUGUUUGAUCACCAAUGCCACAACAAUAUAUAAAUCUUGAAACAAGCCAAUCAAUCAAAGCAAGAACAAUCAGUUUUAAAUCUCUAAAAUGACAAUGCAAGCUUUAAACAAUACAUUGACAAUUUAGGCUCAUUUUUAAAUGCAUCAAUACAUGAAUGCACAGUCUUAAAGCAUUAACUACAUGAAUGCAUCAGGUUCAAUCCGAGAGCAAUAUUAAAGCUAUGCACAACAGUUCCAAUCAAUACUAAUGAUGCAAGCAACUUAGACAGUUUCUAAUUGAUGCAAGACAAUCAAUGAUGGAUUAAACAUAGGCAAUAGCAUCAGACAACAAUAGGAUUGAACUUAGACAGUAUGAGACAUGCUUAUGUAUGCAAAACAGCUUAUCAAUCAUGAUGCAAGCAGCAGAGACAUUCUACUCAAUUCUACAACACAUUCAUGAUGAUUUCAAGCUAUGGCAAUACACAAGACAAUGCAAUGAACAGAACAUGAGAUUUUGGGACUCUAGACAUUACUUAAUAUCAAUAAGACAAUGCAGUAGCAAACUAUUUCCAGUGCAAUUAGCCUAGACCUUCUACUAGAAGACAUAUUAAAAAUAGAUGAGACUAGGUUUACUCCCUUGUUUAAGAUGGUGAGGAGUGGUCUCUUCAUUUCGCCACUUGAGUCCUCACUUGCUACGCUUAACAGCUUCUCCUUUCAUCACACAAGCUCACUAACACUCCUUCUCAAGCUUGAGACCGAGUAUAGGGAAGGUCCAAGCUUGAAGGUGAGCGCUUACUAAGCUUCAUGAACAACCUUGUGGGAACACCUCCAUCUUCUUCAGACUUGAUGCUUACUUCCCCACUUAACCACCAUUGCACUGAGGAGAUACCUCAGCUUACUCUCCAAGUACUUCUUAUUAGAAGCUCAUUGAGUGGCUUUCUUCUUCCCUCUACUUCGGCUGCAUCUACACAUGAUCAGCUUGCAAUGGCCUUGAGGAACCAGGUCAUUGAGCUUAGAGGAUCUUCUGGUAGCUCACUUGAGUCCACACCUCAAGCUUGACUUAGUAUAGGUGCAAGCUUGAAGUGAGUCUCAAUGAGACUUCAAACCGGGAGCGCAUCACUACCUACAGCUGCGCUUAACCCAACCGAUCUGCCAUUGCCUUCAGCUCCAAUGCCUUCAGGUCAUCAGUCUCCCCAAGACUUAGAUGAUGACCUUUACUUGUGUGUCUCCAUGAACCAGGAGCUCAUCACUAUUACUAGCUGCGCUAUCUCAACCGGCCAUACACACAAGUCUUUCUCCAUUGCUUUAACAAUGGCAAGGUCUUCCUCUUCUACUUGGAUGGAUGGUGAGCAAAGAACGCUUCUUGUGAACCUGAAACACCACUCAAACUCCAGCAAAGAUAAGACACAAUUGCAUUGGGAUCAAUCCUUGACUUCAUCAAGUUUGAUCACCAAUGUCUCAAGCUUUAUAACAUUAAAUAGAAUCAAGACACUGUCAAGUUCUUAUCUAUGCAAGCAACCAUUCUCUAAAUACUAAGCAAGACCUUAUCAGAUUCAAGUCAAAUUAUUAGGCAAUUUUAAUCACUCCUUAAUAUGCUACUUAGACUUUAAUCUAAAUGCAACAAUACAAGGCAGCAACAAGGCAGUAUGCAUUAAUCUUAACCAGUUUCUACUCAUAACAGCAAGUAUGAUUAGAUAAUAUAAUCUAUCAUCUUAACAAGACAAGUUUCAUUUAGAACUGAAGAAACCGUAACAAGGUAGAAGUUACCUUAAGGGCUUAGUGAAGGGAUAAGACUGGUAGGAGGAUAAGGGACGCGCGUGCCAGGCUGGAACAGGCUGGAAAGUAGUCCAAGAUGCCAUAAGCAUGUGAGCCAUCCUGGCCAAUCAUUCAAAAGGCUCCCAUUGACUCCACACGGUUAAACAGUGGCGAUUUCCCUUCUUGUAAACCCUUGUGUCUCCCUUAUAAAUAUGUAACCUCACUCAUUAAUAAAUUAAGCAAGUUUUGAGACUCUCUCUUAGUCUUUAAAUCUCAAUGGUUCCAUAUUAGACUCCUAAUCUCAUUCCAUACUCUAAUCUUCACCAAAUCGUUUCUAGUCUUUCCUAAACACUCAGAUUACUCUAAACAUUACUAAAAAUCAUAAUAGGAGUUGGCAUGAAGAAGUUAUCUAUAAUAUUUAGAGAUCCUUAGAGUGAUUAGAAUAUAAGUGAGAGUUUAAGUAGAGAUUAGAAGAGAUUGUGAACGAUUAAGAGACUUGAGAGCCGAUUAGUGUCUAAGAGAGAAUCAUUGUGACUUAAGAGAUUAGAGAGACUCAGAACUGCUUAAUCUUAUUGCUGAGUGAGGUUACAUAUUUAUAAGAGAGACAUAAGGGUUUACAAGAGAAGAAAGGAGCACUAUUGAAGCAUGUGGAGUCAAGGGUCGCUUUUGAAUGGACGGAUGGGAAGCCUUACAUGCUUUGGCUCUUUACAGCCUGUCACAGCCUGUCUUGCUCUUCCCUUAUCCACUCAACGGUCUGAUCCUCUCCACUUGUGAGAUUUUCAGAGCACAGGUUGUGUGGGCGUGGUGAAUCAACCUCCACAGGUUGGGACUGAGUCUUGUUCAACAAUGGAAGAGAAUAACAAAGAGACUGAUGGAAGAAUAAGAAUGGUGUGAGAUUAAGAGACUUUGGGUGAGAGACUGAGAGAUUAGAGAGAUUGAGAGAUUAGGUAACCAGAGAAUAGAGAUUGGGAGAUUCAAAGUAACCAAAGACUAUGAAGGAGAAGGGGAAAUCCCCCUAACUCUCUUAAGAGUUACAAAUCGCCAUAUACAUCUGUUUAUAUAGACUUUUACAAUCUGAGACAUCAUAAACCUAUAUCUAAUGGCUGUAAAUAACUUAAGAGGAAUGGAUGGUGUAGAUGAGCUGGUCUUGUUGCAAUCUGUGUAGUUGAAUCUGAUUGGCUGAAGCAGCUGGCGCCUAUCUUUAAUUCAAACCAGGGCUGUGCUGUGAUUGGCUUUCCUUAAGCUCCUCCUAAUCUGUCCACAGAUCAGUCUAGGUUCAUGGUCGUGGCUCCCCUUGCCUUUACAGUCAAAGCCAGCCUGUCCCAUGACCAAACUCUCCAAUCAUAUCACAGCACCUUAUCUUCUUUGUCUUCUUCUCUUAAGAGCUUCUUUUGUCUUCUUCUCUUAAGAGCUUGUUUUGUCUUCUUCUCUUAAGAGCUGACCUAUGCCCUAUUUUUGCACAAACUUCAUAACUUCUGAAAUGAUCGAGUUAUGAGCUUUCGGGUCGGGACAGGUCCGUACGGAUCCGUACGGUCCGUACACGUCCGUACCAAAUCCGUACGGCCUCGCCCUAAGUUUGCACACUCGACCACCUGCUCCCAAAGAUACUCCUAAGCCUCUCCUGACUUGGCCCUAUCUUUGCACAACCAUUAGAUCACUUCUGGACACUCUCAGACCCUCCUGAAGCCUUAGUAGACAAUCCCUGAAGGACUUGCCCUAUCUUUGCACAAGCACCAACUCAACUCAUCACCUUUGCUUCUCCACUUCUUCUCUUCAAGUUAACACCACUAAGCCCUCAAGGUAACAUCUGCUUGUUACCGUUUCACUUGGUCAAGGUUAGGUAACCUUUGGUCGAGACAUUUGGUACGGACGGUACGGCCAUGUACGGCCUUGUACGGACGUCCGUACCAUGCUUGCCCAAAGUCCCCUCAUUCUCUUCCUCCUCUUCUCUUCCACUUCUUAUCUCUUCAUGUUCAUAUCUUCAACUCAUCUCAACCUCCCCCUCAAGCUUGACCUUAGCUGAUCCUAAGUCAAGCUUGGAACCUUGAAGAAUCCCCUCAUUAAAAACCUUACAAGGAAAACCCUUUGGGACAAAACCUUGUAAGGGAAAAAGAGUAGGUUCAUCAAGGCCUGGGGAUUGGCCAGUGAGCCCUUGUGCCUUAGAACCAGUGUGGUUGGACACAAGAAGCUCUGGAUCACGGCCUAAUAGGUGCAACAACUCUUCACAGCUUUGCACACACUUCACACUUCAGCUUCACCUCUUCAUGGAACUGGUUUGAAGUCUCCCCCUCUCAACUGACUUCUCAGCCAUCUUAGAGAAGCUAGGACACGACCAGAGUAUCUUCAAACACCAGUGAGCCUUAUCAACACUUCACACACGGCUUGCCCUCCUCAUAGACCUGGUUUGGAUCUCCCCCUCUCAAC